AUUGAACGCUGGCGGCAUGCCUUACACAUGCAAGUCGAACGGUAACAGGUCUUCGGAUGCUGACGAGUGGCGAACGGGUGAGUAAUACAUCGGAACGUGCCUAGUAGUGGGGGAUAACUACUCGAAAGAGUGGCUAAUACCGCAUGAGAUCUACGGAUGAAAGCAGGGGAUCGCAAGACCUUGUGCUACUAGAGCGGCCGAUGGCAGAUUAGGUAGUUGGUGGGAUAAAAGCUUACCAAGCCGGCGAUCUGUAGCUGGUCUGAGAGGACGAUCAGCCACACUGGGACUGAGACACGGCCCAGACUCCGACGGGAGGCAGCAGUGGGGAAUUUUGGACAAUGGGCGUAAGCCUGAUCCAGCAAUGCCGCGUACAGGAUGAGGGCCUUCGGGUUGUGAACUGCUUUUGUACGGAACGAAAAGCCCUGGGUUAAUACCCUGGGGUCAUGACGGUACCGUAAGAAUAAGCACCGGCUAACUACGUGCCAGCAGCCGCCGUAAAAC
rnacentral:rRNA from 1 species